rnacentral:lncRNA from 1 species
AUGGUGGGUCCCUUCAGUAGUACCGUAACGGUGGGUCCCUUCAGUAGAACCGUAACGGUGGGUCCCUUCAGUAGAACCGUAACGGUCCGUCCCUUCAGUAGUACCGUAACGGUCCGUCCCUUCAGUAGAACCGUAACGGUCCGUCCCUUCAGUAGAACCGUAACGGUGGGUCCCUUCAGUAGAACCGUAACGGUGGGUCCCUUCAGUAGUACCGUAACGGUGGGUCCCUUCAGUAGUACCGUAACGGUCCGUCCCUUCAGUAGAACCGUAACGGCGGGUCCCUUCAGUAGAACCGUAACGGCGGGUCCCUUCAGUAGAACCGUAACGGCGGGUCCCUUCAGUAGAACCGUAACGGCGGGUCCCUUCAGUAGAACCGUAACGGCGGGUCCCUUCAGUAGAACAUUAACGGCGGGUCCCUUCAGUAGAACCGUAACGGCGGGUCCCUUCAGUAGUACCGUAACGGCGGGUCCCUUCAGUAGUACCGUAACGGCGGGUCCCUUCAGUAGAACCGUAACGGCGGGUCCCUUCAGUAGAACCGUAACGGUCCGUCCCUUCAGUAGUACCGUAACGGUCCGUCCCUUCAGUAGAACCGUAACGGUGGGUCCCUUCAGUAGAACCGUAACGGUCCGUCCCUUCAGUAGUACCGUAACGGUGGGUCCCUUCAGUAGUACCGUAACGGUGGGUCCCUUCAGUAGAACCGUAACGGUGGGUCCCUUCAGUAGAACCGUAACGGUGGGUCCCUUCAGUAGAACCGUAACGGCGGGUCCCUUCAGUAGAACCGUAACGGUCCGUCCCUUCAGUAGUACCGUAACGGUCCGUCCCUUCAGUAGAACCGUAACGGUGGGUCCCUUCAGUAGAACCGUAACGGUCCGUCCCUUCAGUAGUACCGUAACGGUCCGUCCCUUCAGUAGUACCGUAACGGUGGGUCCCUUCAGUAGUACCGUAACGGUGGGUCCCUUCAGUAGAACCGUAACGGUGGGUCCCUUCAGUAGAACCGUAACGGUGGGUCCCUUCAGUAGAACCGUAACGGUGGGUCCCUUCAGUAGAACCGUAACGGUGGGUCCCUUCAAUAGGCUGUAG